GCUCCAGGUAAGCGUCUGCAGCGAAGUUUGGAACGCGCCAGUGCCGCUCGUCGAUCCGCCGCUGGGUUUGCUCCGCGCCGGCUCCCUCUGUCCGCGCUGCUGUUCUGGUGCCUCGCCGUGUCCGGGGUUGUGUGGAGCGGGAAGGGGGGUUCUGCUUUCGUUCUUGCGACGUUAAGUGGAGGGGGGAAAAAAGGAAAAAAACCCCAAACAACGAAACCAAAACACAUCGAAAGCAAAAUGUGCCACUCGCCGGCUCCGUGCACAGCCGCGGCGCACGUGUUGCGGGCGGGGGCGGCCCCACGGCCCCGGGAUGCAGGUAGAGGAUGCGGGACUGCCCGAGACGUGCCGAGCGCGGGGAGCCUCGGGGAGCCGUGGCUCCUCCUGCCCUUCGCGCCGGACCCGGAGACGGUCCUGGUCCUGGUGCCGACGCGGGACGCGCCUUGGAGCAGCGAACGGCGGCAGCGCAUCAGGUCGGUACCGCGCCCCUCCGCUCCCCUCCACCUCCCGACCCCGCCGCUGCCGCCGCCCGUCUCUUGCAGGGCCCUGCCCGGAGGCCGUCCCGCACCUCGUCCCGUGGCGACCCGGCUCCGACACCCGCCGCGCCGCCGUGGUGGGCCGGGGGGCGGCCCUGCGCCUCGAGAGCUCCGCCGCCUUCCACUCCCUCGUCAUCCGCGACGGAGGUAAGAGGGGCCGCCGCCGCCCCGGAGCCCGCGUACCGCGGGGGGCAGCCCAGCCGUGCCCACCGGUGGGAGCACCUCCCGGCCCGGCUGUGCGCGCACCCAGCCCCGCUCCGCUCCCCUCGCCACGCAGGGAUGCUCGUGUUCGCCGACCGCCCCCACGGGCCGCCCAUCACCCUGCGGGCCCGCUACAUCCUCAUCCACGACGGCGGGGAGCUACACAUCGGCUCGGAGCGCUGCCCCUACGGCUCGCGGGCCACCAUCUCGCUGUACGGGCGAGCCGCCGAGGGGGCGGCCGUGGAGGGCUUCGGGCAGAAGUUCGUGGGCGUGGGUCGCGGCGGCGUCCUGGAGCUGCACGGCCGACGGCCCCGCUCCUGGACCCUCCUGGACAAGACGCUGCACCCCGGCGGGCUCCGGCACGGCCCCUACUCCUCCGAGAGGAGGUGGGGCAGCCGCGGGCUCAACCUCCGCGUCCUGGACGGCGGCACGGCGCGGGUGCUGGCGGCGGGGCGCUUCGACACCCACCUGCGGCCGGGCGAGGGCCGGCGGCUGAGAGCCUUCCUGGCCCGGCAGCCCCCCGGCAGCGUGGUGGCGGCGGCCGUGGGGGACUCGGCCGCCCGCAGCCUCACGCCAGAGACGCGGCUGCUGCUGCGGGACCGCCUGGGCAGCAGGUUCAUCGCCCGCCUGGGAUACAGGCAGCCCUGGGCGCUGGUGGGGAUCCUAGGAGGGGAUCAGCUCUCCACAGCAGAAGAUAAGCGGGAGUAUCACGGGAAUGGAACAACGGGGUUAGCCAUAGCCAGAAGAGAUUUCCUCACCUACGACGGCACCCGUUUCACUGUUACUGCUUUCAGUGGGUGGAUAAAAGGAGUGCCUCAUAAUGGAUUUAAAGUGGAAGUGACCAAAGGUAUAAUUAUUCAUCUGGUGGACGAGGUUACAAGUUGGCUACCUGGUGACCGUAUAGUCAUUGCCAGUACAGACUAUUCUAUGCAUCAGGCUGAAGAGUUUAAUCUCCUUCCUUGUCCUGAAUGUAAAAGUAAUCAAGUGAAAAUUGAUGGCAGCCCACUUUAUCUGCACAUGGGAGAAGUCAUAGAUGGUGUCGACAUGCGGGCAGAGGUUGGUCUUCUCACUAGAAACAUACUUAUUCAAGGAGAAAUGGAAGACUCCUGUUAUGGGCAAAACCAAUGCCAGUUUUUCUCUUUUGAUACAUUUGGAGGACACAUAAAAAUCCUAAGGAAUUUUAGCUCUGUUCACAUGUCAGGAGUGGAAUUAAAAAACAUGGGGCAGCAAAUCCUAGGCAGUUACCCUGUGCAUUUUCACUUGGCUGAGGAUGUGGAUGAGAGAGGAGGAUAUGGACGCCCAACGUACCUCGAUAACCUGGCUAUCCACCACUGCUUCUCUAGGUGUGUUGCCAUACAUGGAACUCAUGGCCUUCUGGUAAAAGACACCAUUGGCUAUGACACCCUGGGGCACUGUUUCUUCCUGGAAGACGGGACGGAGCAGAGGAACACCUUUUAUCACAACCUGGGCCUCCUCACGAGGCCGGGGACGAUCCUGCCUUCGGACCGCAGCGAGCUCAUGUGCCUCGCCAUCCGCAGCCACGUCCAUGGGAAUUACACUCCUGUGCCAAGCACUGACUGCAUGGCUGUCAGCACGUUCUGGAUUGCAAAUCCAAACAACAAUUUAAUAGAGAAUGCAGCAGCUGGUGCUCAGGAUGUCGGGAUAUGGUACAUCUUCCACCGGGUUCCCACUGGACAGUCUGAGGGGCGAUAUCCAGAGGGACAGGCUGAACAUACCCCCUUGGGAGUAUUUUACAACAACAGAGUCCACUCCAAUUUCAAGGCUGGUUUGUUUAUUGGAAAAGGAGUAAAGACAACAAGAGCCAACGCUGAAGAUCCCAGAGAGUAUCUCACUGUCGAUAAUGCCAGGUUUCGCCCACAUCAAGAUGCUGAUCCUGAAAAACCACGAGUUCCUGCUGUGAUUGAUCAUCUUAUUGCUUUCAAAAAUAAUGACCACGGUGCCUGGGCCAGGGGCGGUGACAUUAUUUUCCGCAACUCAGGGUUUUCAGACAAUGGAAUUGGACUCACUCUGGCAAGUGAUGGGACUUUCCCGACAGAUGAAGGCUCCAGCCUGGAGGUUACACGCUCAAUUUUUGUUGGAGAAAGCAGCAACUUUGGCUCCCAGGGAGGCCAAAACAGCUACUGGGGAAAAGGGGCAAAUGGAGAAUACAGAACACUGCCCAGAAACAAGACAUUCCCUAUUCGUGGAUUCCAGAUUUAUGACGGGCCUGUCAGGAUGGCAAGAUGCACUUUCAAGAAGUUCACCUCAACUGUUGACAGACACUCAAGUGCCAUUGGAUUCUUCAUGAAAAACUCCUGGCAGAUCAGCCCCCAGAACAAUGUGUCGCAGAUCCUGAUGGAGAAAAGUGUGGGACUGAAGGUGUUUUUUGGCAGGCCAGGCCAGUGGUUUGGAAACAAUGACAAUGACGGUGACAAAAUGUCAAUCUUCCAUGACCUGGAUGGCUCAGUGACAGGGUACCCAGACACCUUUGUGGGCAGAGCAGACAACUACCUGCUGCGUCAUCCCGGGUGUCUCACUGUCCCUCGCUGGAAUGGGGUGAUGUGUACAGGGAAAUUCGCACAGCUUUACAUCCAGGCCAGACGCCCCGAGAACCUGACCUUGUCCAUUGCCAGAGCAGCCUACCCUUCCCAUCCUGUGAGGCUGCAGGGUGUGAACAGAGGAGCACUGUACCAGCAGUACCAGCCUGUCGUCAUGCUCGAGCAGGAUUAUGUCAUCCAGUGGGAUGGCAGAGCACCUGAGGAUGUUAUCCUGUACCCCAUCAACUUCAACAGAGGAGACUGGCUGCGUGUUGCCCUCUGCUAUCCCAGGGAAGCCGUUUUCCAGGUGGUGGGAGACAUCUACCAGCGACGGACAGGGACGGUGCACAGUGUCCAGCACUACCUUGCUGCUCCUUCCAUCGCUCUCAACAGAACUCGUGAGCGGCUCUUCUACUUCGACAGAGGAUCAGGGUACCUGUUUGUUCACCUGCAAGCCCAUGAAGCUCGGGAAGGACACAGUUACUGCUCUCAGCAAGGCUGUGAACGUAUCAAAAUCACGGCACACAUGAGCCCGGGGGACUCCUGGAGCUGUGACCCCAACCCCUUCCCUGAGAGGCCAGUGGCUGCCCAGCACCCCGUGUCCCAGCGUCCAGCUGGGCUGUGCAGGGCAUGUGGAGCCCCACAGGUUGCCAUCACCAGCACACCCUCAGUCGAGUAUAUAAGGAUCCAGAUCCAAUCUCUCAGCAGGGUGGACACACAAAACCACUUGACAUCUGCGUUCAUUAAGGUAAAUGGCACAGUGUUCCUCUUCAAUAGCAGUGGGAUAUUCUUCCUGGUGCUGGAUGCAUGUUCAGGAGCAGUUGUGAGUAGGUGGCAUUUUGACACAGUUGCCAGUGAAAACGCUGCCCAUGCAAUAGCUGAUUAUGUUCAAACAUCCAUAAAAGAGAGGUAAGUAAACUGCUGAGAGCCCAGUUCAUGUAGCAACCUGUGGCUGACAGAUAAAGAAAGGAAAACGACCUACUUUCAUAACCAAACCUGUGCUCUGAAGAAAUCUGGCACAGAUUAAACAUGUACAAAUCCCAAAUAUCAGCCAGACAAUAAGAGAAGCGGCAUCUCUCUCCCAGGAUUGUACAGAUUAGAGCAGUCAGGAACAGGUUUUCUGGAAAACUGGCAAUUUCUUCUAAAUAAUCCAUUCAUUUUCCAUUAUGGAGUAGAUAAGGUCCUCGCAAUGACACUUGCAAUCCUGCACACCCAUCCCAGUGCCCAGCCAUUUCCUGGCAGCAAUGAUUCAGUUUUCCAUUUCGGAAACAAGUCGAUUUCUAUUUACUCUUACUGAUUGUUUUUGCCUCUUGUGGCAGAUGAAAAUCAUAGGUGUGCCAGAUUUUCCAGUGGGACUUUUCUUGGAUCACUUGUUCUUGUGUGCUCUAGAAGUAUCACAGAUGUGGUGGGCAGCUCUGAAAUGUCUGUUUUUACCAGGUUAGGUUCAGCAAAG